AUGCUAUUCAUAGUACCAGUGUUGAUCUUAUGGGUACAUUUGUCACAUAAUGGACAAGAGGUAAAGCAAAUUCCUCAGUUCCAGCUCAUUCAGGAAGGAGAGAACUUCACCACCUACUGCAAUUCCUCAAGCACUUUUGACAGCUUACAGUGGUAUAAGCAGAAAGCGGGGGUAAGUCCUGUCCUCUUGAUAAAGUUAGUUAAGGCUGGAGAAGUGAAGAAGCAAAAAAGACUGACAGCUCAGUUUGGAACUACAAGAAAGGACAGCUCCUUGCAUAUCACAGCCACCCAAGCUGCAGAUGCGGGCACCUACUUCUGUGUGCUGGCACAGUGCUCUUGA